UACGUAGGGGGCAAGCGUUGUCCGGAAUUAUUGGGCGUAAAGAGCGCGUAGGCGGUCCGAUAAGUCGGCUGUGAAAGUCAGGGGCUCAACCCUUGAAAGCCGGCCGAUACUGUCGGACUAGAGUCCGGAAGAGGCAAGUGGAAUUCCCGGUGUAGCGGUGAAAUGCGCAGAUAUCGGGAGGAACACCAAUGGCGAAGGCAGCUUGCUGGGACGGUACUGACGCUGAGGCGCGAAAGCGUGGGGAGCAAACAGU
rnacentral:rRNA from 1 species